CACAGCUGGAAACUUUGCCUGGGAAUUUAUGCUUAUAAAUUUCAGUCAUUGUUUCUGGUCGUGUGUGUAAUAAUGUGCAUCCUAGCCCAAAGAGAGGUGCCACACUGGAGGUUUGGAUAGAUGGCUUGUUUCUGUUUGAGACCGACUGCAGCUUUCAGGCUGAGGUACAACAUUGAUUCUCUGCUUUUGAUAAACGUCUUAUGUUUGUAAAGAAAUUGACAGCCGAACGAAUGCCAGAUUGGAACACUGCUGAGGUCGGCUGUCUGGAAAGCAUUGCCAACACCUGCAUCGUCCUUGUAGAAUGUGUCUGUGUUAAAGCUGCAUUGGAAAUAACAAGCUACCAAACAAAUACUGGUAGACUUUAAUCUUCAGAUCCUAAAGCCACCAGGAGCCUAACAGAUAUCCUGUCUGAUUAUGACAUUUUGUAAGCUUCCCAACAGCGGCAGCAACUUUUCUGGUUAGGUGAAGCUCCCAGUGGUUUGGUUGUGACAUAUCCCACUGAGGGAAUGGCAGUGGUGUUGCCACAUGUAGACAAGGCCUCAGUAUGUCAGGUAUGUUGGUGAACCAGAUCCACUCAGCCGAUCUCAGAUGAUGGGUGUAACUCUGUACUUUCCUUGACUGGCAUGAUUUAUUAAAACAUGUUGACAAUAAAAGACUACCUGACACUAAGCACAUGGAAAUGAUUUAUUUCUGAAUACACUGAGCACAUGAUUGAGUCCAAGAUAAAGAGAAGAAAUUAAACCUGGAUCAACUAUGUUUCAUUAAAAAAAAAAAAGUUGCAAAUGACAUUAUGCUUUCAGUUUCUUUCCCUAUUGAAAUAAAUACGAGAAACAAAUGCCUGUGCAGCCGUUACUGUAUAUGGAAGGGUUUUCUUUUCUCAGUCUUGAAUUAGUGGUUGUUAUUUGCACAAACAGCUGGAGGUCUCUAUCUGUAGUUCCAACAGUUUUUUUCAUGAGUUUCUUUUGUUUUGUAUUGCUGAGGUGCAGGGUAUACAUGUGAUAUUGACCAACAUUACCUGUGUCAAUACUGGGAACAGAUUUGCUUUGGGCCAAAGGUUUCAGCAGAUCAGUGGCUGGAGGAAGAGUAUGCAGCUGAAGAUAACUAUGUCCUCUCGGCUGCUGUGGGCAGUUUAUUUCUUGGAAAAGCUUGAAAGCUGCACUACAGGUAGAAAGUGUGUGUGUGUCAUCUUUAUGGUUCGGUGAUAAAAGUGCAGAGUGUUGUAUAUUAAUAACUUAAAGAAGCCUUAAGGUAUUCCUUGAAGGUUAUUUGAGGCCUAAUCCUCUGUUUUACUGGUUGAACUUGCUGAGUGUCAUUGUGUCCUAACUGGGACUUAAUGAAUGAGUCGUAUUCAUAAACAAUGGAAAUGCUGAUAGUUUAUUACAUUUUGAGAUGCUAUGAGUAAGAGCAACUUGUUAAUUGGCUUUACUUAAAAUAAAAUUCUGUUACAGCAAAUGCCAACAUAUGCAUUGAUUCAUGAUUGGUAGAUUGCAUACAAGCCCUGGAUUAAAGAAUAAUAAUGUAGCACUCGAUUCCAUGUCUGAUGCACGACAUCCACAAGUGUACAUUCUGAUCUGAUCAGAUCAGUUUUGCCAUUGUCAACAUGUCCACACGGUGGUGCUCUCACCAAAGAAUAAAUAAGGAGUCCCACCUUUGUGGGUGUGGUAACUCUGCUACAACAACUUUAAGUUCUUCCCAUUUU